ensembl:lncRNA
GCAAUGACAGACAAACAGGAAGACAUUUACCGCACACCAACAGAAAACUGGAAGUCAGUCUGAGCCUGCGAGAGAACAGAUCAAGAUGAAGACCCUUCGCAUUCUCACUCACUGUCUGAUCACAGCUGUGGUGAGCAGUCUCGACGAGAGAGGCUACCUGGGAGGAAGUAUGCAGUUCAAGUGUAAAUUUGGAAGCUUUUACGCAAGGCACGAGAAGUAUCUUUGUAAGGGUCAAAGUCCCGGCUGUGUGGAUCUGAUACGGACAAGCGAUCAAAAGCGCUGGGUCGACAACGGCAGGUUCUCCCUUUACGAUGGCGGUGAGGGUUAUUUCAACGUUAGCCUGGCUAAGCUCACCCUGCAAGACACAGGGAAGUAUCAAUGUGCUGUGAAUCUUCCAGUGGCAAUUGAUACGUAUGAUGAGAUAAACUUGGUGGUGACAGAUGACCUGGCCAGAGUCAUACGGGAGAAGUGCGAGGAGUCAGACGUGGUGUGCACACUGAAAUUUCUUGAUGAACUGGACGCGUCAGCCAUUUUGCCACUGAAGGUGGUGUCCGAUCUCCUAGAUGGUUUACUGGAGGCCCCCCCAGACAGUCUGGUCUCGAGAGGAGAGGCUGUGCUCCAGGCCACUGAGCAGCUGGUGUCCAGACUGGUGAAGCCCACUCACACUCAGUCCAGCAGAAACUUCAGUACUAACACCACAGAGGUGGAGAUCCUGAAUAUUGGGCCAAACACCUCCCUGACUAGUGUCCCUCAGCUGGUAAUCUCCAACGUCCAUCUGGACAUCGACCUCCUGGGAAUCGCUCGGAACAACAACGGUAUGCC